AUUGAACGCUGGCGGCGUGCCUUACACAUGCAAGUCGAACGGCAGCAUGGAAGAGCUUGCUCUUCUGAUGGCGAGUGGCGAACGGGUGAGUAAAGCAUCGGAACGUACCGUGUAAUGGGGGAUAACGUAGCGAAAGUUACGCUAAUACCGCAUACGACCUGAGGGUGAAAGCAGGGGAUCGCAAGACCUUGCGUUAUACGAGCGGCCGAUGUCAGAUUAGCUAGUUGGUAGGGUAAAGGCCUACCAAGGCGACGAUCUGUAGCGGGUCUGAGAGGAUGAUCCGCCACACUGGGACUGAGACACGGCCCAGACUCCUACGGGAGGCAGCAGUGGGGAAUCUUGGACAAUGGGGGAAACCCUGAUCCAGCCAUGCCGCGUGAGUGAAGAAGGCCUUCGGGUUGUAAAGCUCUUUCGGCCGGGAAGAAAUCGCACAGGCUAAUACUCUGUGUGGAUGACGGUACCGGCAUAAGAAGCACCGGCUAACUACGUGCCAGCCGCCGCAGUAA
rnacentral:rRNA from 1 species